rnacentral:rRNA from 1 species
AUUGAACGCUGGCGGCAGGCCUAACACAUGCAAGUCGAACGAGUGGCGGACGGGUGAGUAAUGUCUGGGAAACUGCCCGAUGGAGGGGGAUAACUACUGGAAACGGUAGCUAAUACCGCAUACCAUCGGAUGUGCCCAGAUGGGAUUAGCUAGUUGGUGGGGUAACGGCUCACCAAGGCGACGAUCCCUAGCUGGUCUGAGAGGAUGACCAGCCACACUGGAACGGAGACACGGUCCAGACUCCUACGGGAGGCAGCAGUGGGGAAUAUUGGGCAAUGGACGAAAGCCUGACCGAGCAACGCCGCGUGAGGGAAGAAGGUUUUCGGGUCGUAAAACUCUGUUGUUAGGGAAGCGGUAUCUAAAGAGAAAGCAACGGCUAACUCCGUGCCAGCAGCCGCGGUAAUAC